rnacentral:tRNA from 1 species
GAGGUAGCGCAAUGGAUAGCGGGUUGGACUUGUAAUACAAAGGUUGUGGGUUCGAAUCCCACUCGAAAUG